UCUUUAAUGGAGAGUUUGAUCCUGGCUCAGGACGAACGCUGGCGGCGUGCCUAAUACAUGCAAGUCGAGCGGGGUUGUUUAGAAGCUUGCUUCUAAACAACCUAGCGGCGGACGGGUGAGU
rnacentral:rRNA from 1 species